UAUUUUGACGCUGUAAAUUACCUUGUUGAACUUGUGUCCCAUAAUGUUUGGGUUACUAAAAUAUCAGUUAUUGUUUUUGUACCCACAAAACGAACCCACCAACUUGAAUUAAAAGUACACAACUCCCACAAAAUCUACUGCAACUUAUAUAAGUUAAAUAAAUUAUAUAAUGACUGCAAUUGCACCGCUGGCUGCAAAAACUAAUCAAAGAGCAAUCACCAUUUGCAGUUGGAAAAAUGCGCUAAUGUAGUGAAGCCAGCCGAAUUUCAUAUUGAUAUUUAAACAAAUUAUCAUUGGUUUUAAUCGAAUUAGUGAAAUAAGUUUGUAAUUCUAGCGUAAAUGUGAAUAUAUAAACAAAGCAGUUUAGUUGAAAGUUUGCAUUCACAUAUUGCAUAAAUCAUUUCUGGGUUACGGCUAUGAUUGGACAAACUAUAAAAGGAUGUUGCCGGUUGCUGCAGAUCAACACUUCUUCACUAACUUGGGACCACCUUUUCAAAACUUUUACUGUAGCAAAUCAGUGACGCAGAAAGCUGCAAAGCAACGAAGAAACAAAUGCAAGUAAACACAAAUAAAAACUGUCAAUAAAAUCAAAAAAGGUAAACAAAAGGAAGAAUGAAAAGAACAAUAAUCGAACUAACUGCAGAGGAAGGGAAUAAAUAUGUAACAAGGUCACUCGAACAAAAAAAUUGGCAGGAAGUGAAAAUAAAUUUGGGUAAGUUAUGAUAAAUAAAAACGGCGAACGGUGAAAGUGGACUAAAUUAUGUUUUGAGAAACUAACGAAUUCA